UUGGAUUUAUUUUUUAUCUUUUUUUAAUUUAACAUACAAAUUGUGAAUAUUCUUGUUCAUUCAGGCCAUUUUCAGGGUAUUGAAUCGCUGCAACUGGACUGUUCGGGUGGUCUCAGUAGACUUUCUCUUUGAUGGGCAGUCCGAGAGGAUGGUGCAGGACCCAACGUAUUUAACCUCUAAAAAGAAAACAAAGAGCAAGACUAUGUUCCCACUGGAAAUUAUGGCUCAUGGUGCAAACAAAGACCCAGAUCCACUCUUCCAGUACUUUCCCAUCUUUGCUGACAUGUCACUGCUCAUCUUCCACCUCUGCAG